GAUGAACGCUGGCGGCGUGCCUAACACAUGCAAGUCGAGCGGCUAUUUAUUGGACACUAUAUUCUAGUUUCUAGCAUCUAGUAUCUAAUAUCUAGUAGCGGCGGACGGGUGAGUAACGCGUGGGUAAUCUGCCCUUUGCUGUGGGAUAACUGUGAGAAAUCAUGGCUAAUACCGCAUAAGCUUACGGUACUGCAUGGUACUGUGAGAAAAGAUUUAUCGGCAGAGGAUGAGCCCGCGUCUGAUUAGCUAGUUGGGGUGGUAAGGGCGCACCAAGGCAACGAUCAGUAGCCGACCUGAGAGGGUGAUCGGCCACAUUGGGACUGAGACACGGCCCAAACUCCUACGGGAGGCAGCAGUGGGGAAUAUUGCACAAUGGAGGGAACUCUGAUGCAGCAACGCCGCGUGAGGGAAGAAUGUUUUCGGAUUGUAAACCUCUAUCGACAGGGACGAAAUAAAUGACGGUACCUGAGUAAGAAGCACCGGCUAACUACGUGCCAGCCGCCGCAGUAAAAC
rnacentral:rRNA from 1 species